UCCAAGGCCAGAUCUGGCUGAGACCCCUGCCUCCCAGACCAGGGUGCUGUCUUGCCUUUUGGGCUCUUGGGCUCUCUAUGGCCUCUUCCCAGGCCAGGCCUGAGGCUGUGGAGUCAGGCAGACCGCCCAUCAGCUGUGUGGCCUGGGUGAGGCCCAGCCGGCCUGCACUCCCAGGGACGCGGGCUGAGCAAGGCAAGCAGAGCAUGGCUCUGGGUUCCGUCCAAGCGGCCCAGCACCCUUCCCUCAUGCAAAGUCACUGAUGAACAUGCUGAGCCCACCCCAAAGGACAUCUGAUCGUUCCAAAGGUCCACCCGCCCACUCAGCCCUCCAGUGGACGUGACCUCAGACACAGUUUGCACCUCCCUCCCCUUACCUUAGUCCCAAUUCCACGUGCAAGGGCCAAGGACUGACUGCAACACCUGACUGAGCAGGACCCUUUUCUGUGAAGACCACUGCUGAGCUACUGGUGAAAGCAACUGGGGCAGGAGGAUCAGUUGGUGACAAUGUACCACCCAUAAUUCCCUGUUUCUGAAGUUGUGCCAUGUUUCUAAAGAGACCGUCCUUGUUUAUACAAUACUAUAAGCAUGAGGGGUGAUGGAGUCAAAUCAGCCAUGCACUCCCAAAGGGUUCAGAACAAGUGGUGUACUGCUUUGAACUUUUUUGUGCGUUUGUGAUUGUUUCAAAAAAAUUUUAAAGAAUGUUUUCAUUGCAUUACAAGGUAACCAGAAAGCCCCACUUCCACCCUUUCUCAAAUAAAGCUUAAAGAUGUCCAGAACCCGAGACAAACCCAAAUCGCAUGCACUCCUCUCAUGGAGAGCAUCCUCUAACACUGUGUUGCAAAUGGCAGGCUGCUUCUUGGAAACACACUGCCAUUCCUUAUGCCCAUGAAAGCAGAAUUCCUGGUGCCCACAAGCUACUUUGUAAAAGAGACAGACAGACAGUGGGCUGUAUUUCAAGGGCAGAUGACCUCUGGGGUCAGUAGGCUGCUUGAGGCUAUUUGGUCUCUAGUUGGGAGAGGUAACCCCAGUGCCUACAGGGCCCAGGCAGGGGCCCCCUGAUGGAGAGGACGUAGGUGGGUAGAGGCUCACAGAAACCAGCACAACCAGAUCUCUUGAGCUAUUCCAGAGAAGCUGACACUCAGAUUCUACAUGAGUGUCCAAGUUUUUAAUAUUGGCAACUAAUUUUAAAAUGUUAACACCACUGCAUGGCCUACAGACCACAGGUAGCCCACGGUCCUUGCAAGGGAGGAUGCAGACAUUUGGUUCAGACUUUCCUUACUCUAUGAAGCCUGCUGCUCACUUUUUUCUUUGAGUAUGGAAGAUGCAGGGUCAUACCCUUAUCCUCAAAAGUCUCAUC